GAUACUUGUAUCCGUAACACUAUAUACAGGGUAUUACGGUACAGAGUCAAUGUGGAGGCUAUAUACAGGGUAUUACGGUACAGAGUCAAUGUGGAGACUAUAUACAGGGUAUUACGGUACAGAGUCAAUGUGGAGACUAUAUACAGGGUAUUACGGUACAGGGUCAAUAUGGAGACUAUAUACAAGGUAUUACGGUACAGAGUCAAUGUGGAGACUAUAUACAGGGUAUUACGGUACAGGGUCAAUGUGAAGGCUAUAUACAGGGGGUAUUACGGUACAGGGUCAAUGUGGAGGCUAUAUACAGGGGGUACCGGUACAGAGUCAAUGUGGAGACUAUAUACAGGGUAUUACGGUACAGGGUCAAUGUGGAGGCUAUAUACAAGGUAUUACGGUACAGGGUCAAUGUGGAGACUAUAUACAGGGGGUACCAGUACAGAGUCAAUGUGGAGACUAUAUACAGGGGGUACCGGUACAGAGUCAAUGUGGAGGUUAUAUACAGGGGGUACCGGUACAGAGUUAAUGUGGAGGCUAUAUACAGGGGUACCGGUACAGAGUCAAUGUGGAGGCUAUAUACAGGGGGUACCGGUACAGAGUCAAUGUGGAGGCUAUAUACAGGGUGUUACGGUACAGAGUCAAUGUGGAGACUAUAUACAGGGUGUUACGGUACAGAGUCAAUGUGGAGACUAUAUACAGGGGGUACCGGUACAGAGAAUGUGUGGGGACACUGGUUAGUCGAGUUAAUAUAUAUAUGUAGGCAGAGAUAUUAAAGUGACUAUGCAUAGAGAGAGUGGCAGCAAAUAGUCUGGGUAGUCAUUUGAUUAGAUGUUCAGGAGUCUUAUGACUUGGGGGUAGAAUCUGUUUAGAAGCCUCUUGGACCUAGACUUGGCGCUCCGGUACCGCUUGCCGUGCGGUAGCAGAGAGAACUGUAGCUGUGGUUCCACUGGCAAUCCCAGCCUAGGAAUGUUGAAGCCCCCAAAGUGAAAAUGAAAAUCUUCUCCAUGGUUAAAGGGAAUGAGUUCCCCACUGAAAAAAAGGGAAGGGGGAGAAAUUAAAGUUCAUAAGUAACACAAUACUCUUAAGUGAAAGUAGUUUGGGAUUUAAUAUAUCUAUUACAUUUUUGGGGGGCCCAUGGAAGAAUAAGGCGACAAAAUGCUGUCCCACAGUUGUGAGAGUGAAUAAGUGAUGUUUUACUGAUGUGGGCCAUGUUACUUCGAUGAUCAUGGUUUUGCAUCUAACCUUCCACCUCCAGCAGCCAG
ensembl:lncRNA